rnacentral:lncRNA from 1 species
GUGGAUGGCAUGCAAACGGUACCAAUUUGGAUAAAUCAAGCUUCUGUGCCUAUCCGUCGACCCGUCGGUUUUUCACCGUGGCAACCGCAGAGCUUGAGCAAGCUAGCGUCGGCACCGGCCAACACCAUGCCGCCGUUGCCCUUCGCGUCACCGCCAGCCAGUAGCUCCACUAGCCCCACCACGACGCCCAAGCCUAACCGUUGCUCGUCUCCCUGCCGGCAAGCUUCGAAUCGCCGCCGUUACUGUCCGCCGGCCGCCGUCCCCCAAUCCACAAG